rnacentral:rRNA from 1 species
GAUGAACGCUCGCGGCAGGCCUAAUACAUGCAAGUCGAACGAGAUUAAGAGGCUUGCUUCUUAUGAAAGUGGCGCACGGGUGCGUAACGCGUAUGCAACCUACCUUAAUCAGGGGGAUAGCCCGAAGAAAUUCGGAUUAAGACCGCAUAAAAACACAGGAUAGCAUUAUCCAAUGUUCAAAUAUUUAUAGGAUUAAGAUGGGCAUGCGUGUCAUUAGCUAGUUGGCGGGGUAACGGCCCACCAAGGCGACGAUGACUAGGGGAUCUGAGAGGAUGACCCCCCACACUGGUACUGCGACACGGACCAGACUCCUACGGGAGGCAGCAGUAAGGAAUAUUGGUCAAUGGAGGGAACUCUGAACCAGCCAUGCCGCGUGCAGGAAGACAGCCCUCUGGGUCGUAAACUGCUUUUAUUCGGGAAUAAACCUUUCUACGUGUAGGAAGCUGAAUGUACCGAAGGAAUAAGGAUCGGCUAACUCCGUG